rnacentral:sRNA from 2 species
GCACCUUAUAAAGCGGGUGCCGGGAUUGGCGUCCUGGAAAUACACACGGCGACAAAUGACGCCCCAGCGUCUUUUUU